GACAAUCCAUGUAAACAUAUAUCAUCUUGAAAAAGGGCGUUGGGUCAUAACCACAUAUAAAACUGAGGGAGGAAGGAAGAGAGAGAGAGCGAGAGCCAGAGGGAUCGUUAUUUCUUGGUAAUUGUGAGAAUAAGAGGAUAACAAAUUAUAUUUAAGCUCCCCAAGUAGAUAUUAAAACUAGGAUUUCCCUCAAGAUCCAAGUUUGGAAAAGC
rnacentral:lncRNA from 1 species